CCCUUAUCCACAAGUCUCUCUGCUCCUCUUUCAAACAUUGUCAAAGGCAAUAUAAUAGUUAAUAUUAUCAACUUCACUGGAUAAAAGAAGGGAACCCUUUACACAUGCUUCUGCCUGAUCCCUGCCGCCCAGAUGCUCUCGUCUUUGUCUACGAAGUAUGAAGUGGCAUUUGUCCUGGAGUUCAGAAUUACCAAGAUGUCCACAAUACCUACUACAUCUAACGUUGUCAACGACGUGGAGCAAUGGAACUGUUCUUUCAUCUCUUGUGGAAUUCAAAAUACUAUAGCCACAUUGGGAGACAGCUUAACAGUACAGAUUGAAACAUACUCUACCAUUCGAC
rnacentral:lncRNA from 1 species